rnacentral:lncRNA from 1 species
GAGCAUUGUGGGGCCCGCUUGGAUCUCCUUGUCCAAAGGGUCUGGGCGCCGGGGCUGCAGUCUCUGGGUGAGGAGGCGGACGCGGGAAACCUGCUUCGGUCUCCAUGGUUACGAGCCGCUCAGCGCGCAGGAGGGGGAUUCAAAGGAAAUACGGAAGCUAAAAGGAAACUGCUGAACAGAAAACAAUGUCAACUAAAAAUACUACAAGCAAAAAACAUCACUGAGAAUGAAGGUGAGAAAAAGAUGUCCUCAGAGGAAGCAAAAAAUAAGAGAAUCUGUACCUAUCAGAACCACUCUAAAAGAACUAAAAAACGUCUAUCAGAGGAAGUGGAAAUUUGCAGAACGAAAUUUGGAAAAUAAUGAAGGAAGAGCAACAGAAAUGUGGUCUGUUUUGAGACAUGAGUUCGGAAACUUACACUGUGUGGAGCCUGACAAUGAAGCCAACAAUAUGGAAGGCGGGACGAAGACAUGGAGAAACAUUCCUCCCUUGUGAUGUUGUUUGAGCCCAUGAAUCAGCCUCCCUGGAGUCAGUCCCACAUCUCUUCCUUGAACUCGCCUGAGCCAUGACACU